GUGGGGAAUAUUGGACAAUGGGCGAAAGCCUGAUCCAGCAAUGCCGCGUGCAGGAUGAAGGCCCUCGGGUUGUAAACUGCUUUUGUACGGAACGAAAAGCCUGGGGCUAAUAUCCCCGGGUCAUGACGGUACCGUAAGAAUAAGCACCGGCUAACUACGUGCCAGCAGCCGCGGUAAUACGUAGGGUGCAAGCGUUAAUCGGAAUUACUGGGCGUAAAGCGUGCGCAGGCGGUUUUGUAAGACAGUGGUGAAAUCCCCGGGCUCAACCUGGGAACUGCCAUUGUGACUGCAAGGCUAGAGUGCGGCAGAGGGGGAUGGAAUUCCGCGUGUAGCAGUGAAAUGCGUAGAUAUGCGGAGGAACACCGAUGGCGAAGGCAAUCCCCUGGGCCUGCACUGACGCUCAUGCACGAAAGCGUGGGGAGCAAACAGGAUUAGAAACCCGAGUAGUCC
rnacentral:rRNA from 1 species